rnacentral:tRNA from 1 species
UAAUCACAUCGAAUUGCAAAUUCGAAGGUGUAGAGAACUGAUUCUACUAAGGCUU